rnacentral:rRNA from 1 species
GACGAGCGCUGGCGGCGUGCUUUAGGCAUGCAAGUCGAACGCGAAAGCCCCUUCGGGGGUGAGUAGAGUGGCGAACGGGUGAGUAACACGUGGGUAACCUGCCCCUCGCAGGGGGAUAACCGGGGGAAACCCCGGCUAAUACCCCGUACGCUUGCUGGGGCGCAUGCUCCGGCAAGGAAAGGUAGCUUCGGCCAUCCGGCGAGGGAGGGGCCCGCGGCCCAUUAGCUAGUUGGUGGGGUAACGGCCCACCAAGGCGACGAUGGGUAGCUGGCCUGAGAGGGUGGUCAGCCACACUGGGGAUGAGACACGGACCAGGCUCCUACGGGAGGCAGCAGCCAGGAAUCUUGCGCAAUGGGAGAAAGCCUGACGCAGCAACGCCGCGUGGGCGAUGAAGGCCUUCGGGUCGUAAAGCCCUGUUGUCGGGGACGAAGGGCGAAGGGUUAAUAGCCCCUAGCCUGACGGUACCCGACGAGGAAGCCCCGGCUAACUACGUG